ACAAGGAGCCCCUCACAUGGAUAAUUUUGUGCAAAGUGGGAACUGGCAUCUCUGGAGCAUCUCCCUGACCAUGGAUGGAGCAGCUUGGAGGGGGAGACGUCCACCUUUCGCCCCUUCCGCCCGGCAGCGAUGGUGAAUGACGGAGAGGUAAGCCUCCCUGCCCUCAACCAGCUUCCCCAAAAUGUUCCUUCCACCUUUCCCACCAUCCUGGUCUGUCUAGAGGCAGAGAUCUGUUGGCCGCAUACCCAAAUCCUGGUUCAAACUUCCCGGCGCUUUUGGCAGGCUGCAGCUGAACCAGGAGAGGCUUGGCUUGGGGAGAUGACAUUGAGCAGCACAGCCCCACAGUGGGCAGAAAGACUCCACCUCUGGCCGGCUGCCCAGCUCUUGAUAUGUCCAGGAGAAUCCGUCCGCUUGCAGGACACUUGGAGGCACCCAAACCACAGCAAUGACGUCUUUGGAGGAGAAGUGUGGUCCAGCCAGAGUCUGCCACCCCCCUGGCCAGGACACCAGGCCGGGAGCCCAGCCCAGCCCAGGAUGCUACGCCAAUCAGACUUUCAUCUUUGACGAUAACCACUUGCCCAGGUUCAAAGCGUCCCCAGGAGGCGGUGGAAGAGCUGGAGGAAGCAACACCAACAACACCAAGAGCGGGGUCAUCCUGGACAUCUCCUCUUUGACCAUGAACGAGCUGGACUCCGAGGUGCUUCCCCUGCCACCCCGUUAUCGGUUUCGAGACUUGCUCUUGGGGGACCAGAGCUUCCAAAACGAGGACAGGCCACAUAAUGAAGACUUUAGCAUGGAUUCUUCACUUUCACAGGUUGAAGUGGAAUUUUACGUGAAUGAGAACACCUUUAAAGAACGUUUAAAGCUAUUCUUCAUCAAAAACCAACGAUCAAGCCUGAGAAUACGCCUGUUUAACUUCUCGCUCAAGCUUCUGACUUGCCUUCUUUAUAUCGUCCGCGUUCUGCUGGAUGACCCGGAACGGAUAGGAUGCUGGGAAUGCGAGAAGCACAUCUAUUCUUCCUUCAAUCAAUCGUCGUCGGAAAUCAACUGGGCUCCCAUUUUGUGGGUGGAUCGAAACAAGCCGUUGUGGGCAAUACAAGUCAGUGUGGCUAUCAUUAGCUUUCUUGAGACAAUGCUUCUAAUCUACCUCAGCUAUAAGGGUAACAUUUGUGAGCAAAUCUUUCGUGUUUCGUUCAUCCUGGAAAUGAUCAACACCGUGCCCUUUAUUAUCACGAUAUUUUGGCCACGUUUACGGAAUUUAUUUAUCCCCGUGUUCUUGAAUUGCUGGUUGGCGAAGUACGCUUUGGAGAACAUGAUAAAUGACCUGCAUCGAGCAAUACAACGGACUCAGUCUGCCAUGUUUAACCAAGUGCUCAUUUUAAUUUGCACCCUGCUUUGUCUUGUUUUCACUGGAACCUGUGGCAUCCAGCAUUUAGAAAGAGCUGGCGAAAACCUCUCGCUUUUCAAGUCCUUUUAUUUUUGCAUCGUCACCUUCUCCACCGUCGGCUACGGGGAUGUGACCCCCAAGAUCUGGCCUUCUCAGCUGCUGGUGGUGAUCAUGAUAUGUGUGGCCCUUGUGGUCUUGCCUCUGCAGUUUGAAGAGCUGGUGUACCUGUGGAUGGAACGGCAGAAGUCAGGAGGAAAUUACAGCCGCCAUCGGGCCCAGACGGAAAAGCAUGUUGUUCUUUGUGUCAGCUCUCUCAAGAUAGAUCUGCUUAUGGACUUCCUGAACGAGUUCUACGCUCAUCCCAGGCUGCAGGACUACUACGUGGUCAUCCUUUGCCCUACAGAAAUGGACAUCCAGGUGCGCCGGGUGCUUCAGAUUCCCUUGUGGUCCCAGCGGGUGAUCUAUCUCCAGGGAUCUGCCCUGAAGGAUCAGGAUCUCAUGCGAGCAAAGAUGGACAACGGCGAAGCUUGCUUCAUUCUGAGCAGUCGAAAUGAAGUGGACCGCACAGCUGCCGAUCAUCAAACCAUUCUAAGAGCUUGGGCAGUGAAAGACUUUGCUCCUAACUGUCCCCUCUACGUUCAGAUUUUGAAGCCGGAGAAUAAAUUCCAUGUCAAGUUUGCAGAUCAUGUGGUCUGUGAAGAGGAAUGCAAAUACGCCAUGCUGGCCCUCAAUUGUGUCUGCCCAGCUACCUCUACUCUUAUUACCCUUCUUGUCCAUACCUCCAGAGGGCAGGAAGGCCAGGAAUCUCCAGAGCAGUGGCAAAGAAUGUACGGGCGCUGCUCGGGCAAUGAGGUCUACCACAUCCGCAUGGGCGACAGCAAGUUUUUCAUGGAGUACGAAGGGAAGAGCUUCACCUACGCGUCCUUCCACGCUCACAAAAAGUACGGGGUCUGCUUGAUGGGCGUGAAGAAGGAGAAUAAGAGCAUCCUUCUCAACCCGGGACCACGGCACAUCAUGACUGCAUCUGAUACCUGCUUCUACAUCAACAUCACCAAAGAGGAGAACUCGGCCUUCAUCUUUAAGCAGGAAGAGAAGCAGAAACAGAAGCUGUUUAUGGGCAAAGGAAUCUAUGACGGGCCGUCGAGACUGCCGGUCCAUAGCAUCAUCGCUAGCAUGGGCACGGUGGCCAUGGACCUGCAGAACACAGAAUGCCAUCCCAAUCACAGCUCCAAGUUAACGUUGCCAGCCGAGAACGGAUCAGGAAAAAGGAGGCCCAGCAUCGCCCCGGUUCUGGAGCUGGCAGAUGCCUCUUCUCUUCUCCCCUGCGACAUGCUCAGUGACCAAUCCGAGGAUGAGGUGACUCAGUCCGAUGACGACGGCCUGACCAUCAUAGAGUAUGUGAAAGGGUACCCUCCCAACUCACCUUACAUUGGAAGUUCUCCCACCCUCUGCCAUCUUUUACCUGUCAAGGCACCGUUCUGUUGCUUACGUCUGGACAAGGGCUGCAAGCACAACAGUUACGAAGACGCAAAGGCCUACGGCUUUAAGAACAAGUUGAUCAUUGUGUCGGCGGAGACGGCGGGCAACGGCCUGUAUAAUUUUAUUGUCCCUCUUCGAGCGUAUUAUCGUUCACGGAAGGAGUUGAAUCCGAUCGUGCUGCUGCUGGACAACAAACCUGACCAUCACUUCUUGGAAGCCAUCUGUUGUUUUCCAAUGGUUUAUUACAUGGAAGGUACAAUUGAUAACCUUGAUAGUUUGCUGCAAUGUGGCAUUAUUUACGCGGACAAUUUGGUGGUGGUGGACAAAGAAAGCACCAUGAGCGCAGAGGAAGAUUACAUGGCCGAUGCCAAGACUAUUGUCAAUGUCCAGACCAUGUUCAGACUUUUUCCAAGUCUGAGUAUCAUUACUGAAUUGACCCAUCCAUCCAACAUGAGGUUUAUGCAAUUCCGGGCAAAGGACAGCUACUCGUUGGCCCUUUCCAAGCUGGAGAAGAAAGAACGAGAAAACGGCUCCAACUUGGCUUUUAUGUUCCGCCUCCCGUUUGCUGCUGGCCGUGUUUUCAGCAUCAGCAUGUUAGAUACGCUCCUUUACCAGUCCUUCGUGAAAGAUUAUAUGAUCACCAUCACGAGAUUAUUACUCGGCCUGGAUACAACGCCUGGGUCUGGUUACCUCUGUGCAAUGAAAAUAACGGAAGAUGAACUCUGGAUCCGAUCCUACGGACGUCUCUUUCAAAAGUUGUGCUCUUCCAGCGCGGAGAUCCCCAUUGGCAUCUACAGGACUGAAUCGCACAUGUUCUCCACCACAGAUCCUCAUGAUAUCAGAACACAGUCAAUUUCGAUCAAUGUGGAAGACUGCGAAGACCUCAAGGAAGGGAAGGAGACUUGGCACACCAAACCGCGCCACCAUCACCGGAAUUCGUGUCCUGCUGACCAGACGGAGCACCCUCUUCUCCGGAGAAAAAGCAUGCAGUGGGCUCGGCGGCUGAGCAGGAAAGGAGCCAACAAGCAGACCUCCAAGACAGCCGAGUGGAUCAACCAGCAGAGACUCAACCUCUAUCGCCGGUCGGAAAGGCAGGAGCUGUCGGAGCUUGUGAAGAACCGCAUGAAACAUCUGGGCUUACCUACAACAGGGUACGAGGAUGUAGCAAAUUUAACAGCCUGUGAUGUGAUGAAUCGAGUAAACCUUGGAUAUUUGCAAGAUGAAAUGAACGACCACCAGAACACCCUCUCCUACGUUCUCAUCAAUCCUCCCCCAGACACACGGCUGGAACUCAACGAUAUAGUGUAUUUAAUACGACCGGACCCCCUAGCCCAUGUGGAAAACGAAGGUCACAGUCAAAAGAGCAGCAGUCAUAAGAACGCAAAUCCUGAAACCCGAGACGAAACACAGCUCUGAGUAGCCUCCCUCUUCCCGCACGGAAUACAUCUCCUUGUUCAUGCAUGGAACUGCAUCAAAACCAUCAAUAAACUUAGGAAGGGAAGAAGAGUUUUUUGCACUGAGCAGGUUUAAAAGAAGACUUGUUCAAGCUGGACUUCUGAUUCAGGAUCUGCAGAGCUGGGGCUCGCAGGUGACUGUGCGCCCUAGUAGAAGCCUCAUCCAACUGGAGCAGAAAGAAGACCCAGCUCAAGCAAUGCAGAAGGACAUCAAGACUUAGAGCCUGUGUUCACAAGCCGACAUUUCCCAGCGGUCGCACCUCGAAGAAACAAUACAGAAUCCCGAUGUUCACAGAGACAGCUCCACGGGUUUCCUCCGAGUUUCAUCGCCGGCAGCCUUCUCAUCCC